rnacentral:ncRNA from 1 species
UUGAAAGGGGUGCUUAACAGCUGAGAUCAUACCCAAUGAACCUGAUACGGAUAAUGCCGGCGAAGGGAACAAUUGCA